ACUACGGGAGGCAGCAGUGAGGAAUAUUGGUCAAUGGGAGAGAGCCUGAACCAGCCAAGCAGCGUGAGGGAAGACGGCCCUAUGGGUUGUAAACCUCUUUUGUGGGAGAACAAAACCCGGCACGUGUCCCGGUCUGCGUGUACCCCAAGAAAAAGCACCGGCUAACUCCGUGCCAGCAGCCGCGGUAAUACGGAGGAUGCGAGCGUUAUCCGGGUUUAUUGGGUUUAAAGGGUGCGUAGGCGGUCCGUUAAGCCAGCGGUAAAAUUGCGGGGCCCAACCCCGGCGGUCCGUUGUAACGGGGGGCCUUGAGUUGGCGAGAGGCAGGCUGAAUGCGCGGUGUAGCGGUGAAAUGCAUAGAUAUCACGCAGAACUCCGAUUGCGAAGGCAGCGUACCGGAG
rnacentral:rRNA from 1 species